UGGGCUUCUAUCAGAUUUCAACACUGAUG
rnacentral:piRNA from 1 species